GGACCUGACUGCUAUCGGAUUGAUACUAAGCCAUGUGAGUCAUUGUAGCAAUACAAGGCAGACGGCUCAGUAACACGUAGCCAAUCUACCCUAUGGACGGGGAUAACCUCGGGAAACUGAGGAUAAACCCCGAUAGAUCAUUAUGCCUGGAAUGGUUAAUGGUUCAAAUGAUUCGUCGCCGUAGGAUGGGACUGCGGCCUAUCAGCUUGUUGGUGAGGUAAUGGCCCACCAAGGCUAUUACAGGUACGGGCUCUGAGAGGAGAAGCCCGGAGAUGGGUACUGAGACACGGACCCAGGCCCUAUGGGGCGCAGCAGGCGAGAAACCUUUGCAAUGUGCGCAAGCACGACAAGGUUAAUCCGAGUGUUUCCCGCUAAAGGAAUCUUUUGUUAGUCCUAAAAACACUAGCGAAUAAGGGGUGGGCAAGUUCUGGUGU
rnacentral:rRNA from 1 species